CACAAUUAUGGAUGGUUGCUACAUUAUAUAGAAUGAAGGGGUCACCUGGUCUGAGUGGUAGCUUCAGUUUAAGGAUAUGAUAUACAGAUUUAGUAAGCAAUCUAAUAAUGUGUUAUAAAUGAAAUUAAUAACCGCCAAUGUCAACGAUGUGUAAAAAAAACAAAAAACAAGGGCAUUAUAAGGCAAGGGAGAAUGAUAAAAUGACAAGCUCUCCACCAGUAAAGUAAUCAAGAUUGUAUUGCAAUACACUUUGUUUGUGUUAAUAGCAUGGUUAUAGGUCUUUUAUAAGUGGUUCCUUAAACUACUAGUUUUUGUUAAGCCAUGCUAUACUGUGUGACUACUGGAGGGACAAACAAGCUGGUGUUUGGAAAAGGAACUCUGUUAGCAGUGGAACCAAGAGAAGAAUCGAAAACAGAGGCCUUUCUUUUAGGAUCUGAGCAAGACAAUAAGGAUGGCAAAGUCAGAGCCUGCCUCAUCACAGACUUCAGUUCACAUAACAUCAGUGUUACAUUGGGAGGUGAAACCUUUGAUGCAGACCCCUCAGUAAUUAAAGGAGACAAGCAGUACAGUGUGGUGGCAUUUCUCCAAGAAAGCAAAGAGAGAUCACUCUUCAUCUGCAGUGCAGAUGUUAAUGGCAGUGUGACUAAAGGAGAAAGCAAUAAUAAGGAAAGCGUGUGUGAGUCUGAUGUGGCAUACGUUUUUAAAUCAGAUGAGAAGCUGAACUCUUUGAGUUUGGUGGUACUGGGUCUGAGAGUUAUAUUUCUGAAGAGCAUUGCAUUCAAUGUUGUCAUGACAAUCAGGGCGUGGAUGAGUUAGGAUACAUCAAAUAUAUGAUGAAGACAUGGAUUGUUGAACCAAAAGGAAUGAAGCAAACAUUUUAUUAAAGCAGUUUUCAGAAGUUCUAGGCUUGUGGGUUUGAUUAGGCUUUACAGAGAUACUAUUGGAAAUUGAAAAUACUUUAUCGUACUUUUCUCAGUAAGAAUAAUAUCGCUUUUGUAAUGGCAAUGCAUUAUGCUUUAGAAUGCAAUAUUGAAAUAAUCAGAUUUGCCUAUAAAAUGUAUGUAGCUUUUAUCAAGAAAUGUUUUCAGUGUGCUUAAAAUAUAGAUUGCAAGCUGUCUGGUUUGAUUAUAUUAGUUAAGUAAACAAUGCACUGUAUUUCACAGAGCUUUAACUCAUACAUUAUUUUUUAAAACAUCCACUACCGUAAGUGGGACCUGAUCAAAUUGGAAGCUGUAAGAAAUGUUUUAAGCUCAGCUCUUCUGAAAAGAGAAUAGUGGCACAUCUACAUGGUUCCUAUUACUGUGCAAACAAAAUGCACACUAGUUAGUUAUGAGUUAAAGCUUUGUGAAUAGGUGUCAAAGUUAUUACAAACAGUGAAUAUCUUUGGAUAUAAUGAACAUUGCAUUAUAACUUGAAUCAGUUCUGUUAAAUAAGCAGAAUUUCAUUAGAAAAGAAUGCGCUUUGCCAUUUAUCUUUCAUGUAGCUUAUGCUAGUGUGUGUGUGUGUGUGUAUAUAUAUAUAUAUAUAUAUAUAUAUAUAUAUAUAUAUAUAUAUAUAUAUAUAUAAAUGUCGCUCAUACUAACCUUGAAAUGUAAUGCACACAUGACUGCUUAUCACUCGAAGAAAAUGAUUAGUUAUACUUUGUUACUAGGCAUGUAUUACAGCUUAUUGAUUACAUGUUAAAUGUACAAAAUGAUGUGCUUUUAUCA